UUGGACAUUACGACUCUGGUACAUGACUGGUUUCUGUAGUUGAGUGUUGAUAAAAAUCUUUAGCCCCACGUCCUUGCAAAAGAAAAAUCAGAUAUGUCACCUCCUCUCAUUCUAGUCAACAAAAGCAACAUGUCCAGGAACCUGUGGCAGAGCAAGCAACUGAAUCCAUUUCUACUGAGCCUCAGCCCAGUGCAUGUACCCAGGACCAUCCAGGAGAUGAACAUAAUCCCUCACUUGAAGGAAUCUGAUUGGAAUGAAAAUUUUACUCUUCAGCUGAAAUUUCCAAAAAGGCUCGAGGGAGUUAGCAGUGCCAGUUUGCAGUACUUUAUUGCAAGUCUUGCCAUAUUUGGUGUUUCCUGGAUCCAUGUGGUUGCAGGAGAAUCUCAACUUUCAUAGACAUGGGUUUAACUCCUAAGAACCUGUGCUUGAGUCAUUUUGAGUUAGGAUCAUACAGAAUAUGUAUAUA